ACCUGGCUGGCUUAGUCAGUAGAGCAUGUGACUCUUGAUCUCAGGGUUGUAAGUUCAAGCCCCAUGUUGGGUG
rnacentral:tRNA from 1 species